rnacentral:rRNA from 1 species
CAGAGGKKASKGSWAKSGAUGRKWSGWCKMWRSCAUGCGAGUUGAAUGUUCUUCGUGAACAUGGCGGACUGCUCAGUAACACGUGGACAACCUACCCUUGGGUCCGGCAUAAUCCUGGGAAACUGGGAAUAAUUCCGGAUAGGUCACCGAUGCUGGAAUGCGCGGUGGCCGAAAGCUCCGGCGCCCGAGGAUGGGUCUGCGGCCUAUCAGGGUUGUAGUGGGUGUAACGUACCUACUAGCCUACGACGGGUACGGGUUGUGAGAGCAAGAGCCCGGAGAUGGAUUCUGAGACACGAAUCCAGGCCCUACGGGGUGCAGCAGGCGCGAAAACUUUACAAUGCGGGAAACCGUGAUAAGGGGAUCUCGAGUGCCAGCAUAUAAUGUUGGCUGUCCAGAUGCCUAAAAAGCAUCUGUUAGCAAGGGCCGGGCAAGACCGGUGCCAGCCGCCGCGGUAACACCGGCGGCCCGAGUGGUAACCGCUAUUAUUGGGUCUAAAGGGUCUGUAGCCGGCCAGGUAAGUCCCUUGGGAAAUCUGGCAGCUCAACUGUCAGGCUGCUAGGGGAUACUGUUUGGCUUGGGACCGGGAGAGGUGAGAGGUACCUUGGGGGUAGGGGUGAAAUCUUGUGAUCCUCGAGGGACCACCAGUGGCGAAGGCGUCUCACCAGAACGGGUCCGACGGUAAGGGACGAAAGCUAGGGGCACGAACCGGAUUAGAUACCCGGGUAGUCCUAGCCGUAAACGAUGCUCGCUAGGUGUCAGUCACGGUGCGACCGUGAUUGGUGCCGUAGGGAAGCCGUGAAGCGAGCCACCUGGGAAGUAUGGCCGCAAGGCUGAAACUUAAAGGAAUUGGCGGGGGAGCACUACAWCRKKUGGAGCCUGCGGUUUAUUG